rnacentral:rRNA from 1 species
UACGUAGGGUGCAAGCGUUGUCCGGAAUUAUUGGGCGUAAAGAGCUCGUAGGCGGUUUGUCGCGUCUGCUGUGAAAACUCGGGGCUUAACCCCGGGCCUGCAGUGGGUACGGGCAGACUAGAGUGCGGUAGGGGAGACUGGAAUUCCUGGUGUAGCGGUGAAAUGCGCAGAUAUCAGGAGGAACACCGGUGGCGAAGGCGGCUCACUGGCCCAUAACUGACGCUGAGGCACGAAAGCGUGGGGAGCAAACAGG